UGCCAGCAGCCGCGGUAAUACGUAGGGGGCGAGCGUUGUCCGGAAUUACUGGGCGUAAAGGGUGCGUAGGUGGCCUUUUAAGUUGGAUGUGAAAUACCCGGGCUUAACUUGGGGGGUGCAUCUAAUACUGGAAGGCUAGAGUGCAGGAGAGGAAAGCGGAAUUCCUAGUGUAGCGGUGAAAUGCGUAGAUAUUAGGAGGAACACCAGUGGCGAAGGCGGCUUUCUGGACAGUAACUGACGCUGAGGCGCGAAAGCGUGGGGAGCAAACAGGAUUAGAUA
rnacentral:rRNA from 1 species